UACGUAGGUGGCAAGCGUUGUCCGGAUUUACUGGGCGUAAAGCGCACGUAGGCGGCUUUGUAAGUUAGAGGUGAAAGCCCGGGGCUCAACUCCGGAAUUGCCUUUAAGACUGCAUCGCUAGAAUUGUGGAGAGGUAAGUGGAAUUCCGAGUGUAGAGGUGAAAUUCGUAGAUAUUCGGAAGAACACCAGUGGCGAAGGCGACUUACUGGACACAUAUUGACGCUGAGGUGCGAAAGCGUGGGGAGCGAUCCGG
rnacentral:rRNA from 1 species